AUAGCCAUUCUCUUCCUUCACUAGUGAAUAGCCAUUCCAUUCCACGGGAGUAAUUUUUUUCCCUAUUUUAAAUUUUUCCCCUCACCUUUACCCAGAGAGAAUGAAGAAGCUGUAAUGGAACCAUCAUCUUCUCCUUCAGUCUGGUAACUUUCUUUAUUACAGCCUGAAUCCAUUCCAGCUCUAUUACAGGAAAAGGUUGAAUAGCCAUUCUCUUCCUUCACUAGUGAAUAGCCAUUCCAUUCCACGGGAGUAAUUUUUUUCCCUAUUUUAAAUUUUUCCCCUCACCUUUACCCAGAGAGAAUGAAGAAGCUGUAAUGGAACCAUCAUCUUCUCCUUCAGUCUGGUAACUUUCUUUCCUUUCCAUCUCUACGUUUCCCUUUUUUUCCUUUGAUUGCAGAGGAAACCUAGGUAAGCUGUAAAGGGAUUUCUAUUCCCUUCCCUCCUUAACUUUACCCUCACAAAUUCUCACCUCAAAACGACAGCCAAUCCAAAAGCUAUUUCUGCAAAGCAAAGUCAAGGCUUCGAUUAUUCACUUUCAUCAUACGCUACGCGCCCUUCAAGUUCUCUUAAUCUUUGCAUCUUUCACCAGCUCCACCGUCUCAGAUCUCCAGCCCAACUGUUUCGCUCACUCUCUUAUUUUGCAAUGGUGAGACCUAAGAAGCAAUUGACACUUUCAUCAUUAUCACUGGGGCACCCGAAGCUGUUGCUAUUUCCAUGCUAAAGGUAGUUUUUGGAAAAUUUUUAAUUAAAUCUUAGUUUUAUUUUGUUAAAAUUUUAAACUGGAUUAUCGAAUUGGCUUCUGAUUGUAGGUUGAUCAAUGAUCGGUUGAUUUCUUCUUUUUUAAUUUUUUAGGGUUUAUAAUAUACUGCUUAAUGUUGUUGAUUUAUUUUUCUAAUAAUUUUUUCAUUCAUUUGUUGAAGAUAACUGAAUUUUUAUUGGUUGUAAUUGGACUUGGGUUUAGCCAAUGACUAUAAUCAAAGGGUUAAUUUAAGGUUUGAAUGAAUUAUUUGAAAAUUUUAUUAUUUUUCUUUUCAAUUAGUUGUUUUACUUGGAUUUAACUUAUAUUAGUCAAAUGAACUGGCUUUAAAAAAUGAACAAGAACGAAGAAAUUGGAUGGUUGACUGGACACUAGAAAGGGGCAAAGCUAAAAGUUGUAAAUGUUUUGAAUAUAGAGUUGUAUUUUUUUCAUGGCUUCAGAAAAAUGUAUACAAUGUUUGGCCAGCGAUAAUGGACAAGUUUUUUUAAACCUCCAUGCCUUAGUCAUGCUUUCAUAAACAUGUGCAGCUAACACCGAGAAGUCUCAUUCAAUGUAGUAAGUGAUUUAAAAGUGAAGCUCAUAUACGUCAUUGCUACUCUCUUUGCAGCUAAACUCCCAUGAGAC
rnacentral:lncRNA from 1 species